rnacentral:misc_RNA from 1 species
GUUUUAAAUGCGUUUAUAGCAAGAUGACAUUCUGAUACUUUAAAGUGUGUAAAAGCAGCAGUCCUGCCGACGCCCAGUGGUCUAAUCGGACAGGACUACCAAAGGUGCACAGGGGUAUGUGGAGUGAGCAGGGCGUGCACAUGCCUCCGAGAAGGCCAGCAACAACCCCUUUCAGACUCAUUAAUGAUCCUUCCGCAGGUUCACCUACGGAAA